AAGAGACGUCAUUGGGCAGCAGCAGCCCGGCGGGCGCCCGGAGAGAGGAUCGCGAAGGAGCGGCCCGAGGAGGGGGCGGCCGCCGAGCCGAGCUGGGCAGGGCAGGGUUCCCCGGGAAGGCGGACGCGCCUGAUGGAUGGCGGGGCCCCGCCCUAGGGGCUGGCCGGAGAGCGAAGCGCUCGGGUGCAGGGGCCGGAGGUGGAAGAUCUUGGAAAGCAGGGCCGAGUGCAGCUCGGGAAACGGAGCAGACAGGUGGGGAGAAAGAGGCACAGAGAAGUUAAAUGACUUUUUCAAGGUCACAGAGUUCCUGACCAGUACUCAGAUAUGAGGGCUUGAAGGGACCUCGAGAAGUCAUCAAGUCCAGGCCCCUGAAGAAGCAGGACCAAGUAAACCUAGGCCAUCCCUGACAGGUCCAACCUGUUCUUACAAAACCUCCUGUGAUG